rnacentral:lncRNA from 10 species
CCCGUCUCUACUAAAAAUACAAAAAAUUAGCCGGGCGUGGUGGCCUGCGUCUGUGGUCCCAGCUACUUGGGAGGCUGAGGCAGCAGAAAGGCGUGAACCCAGGAGGCGGAGCUUGCAGUGAGCAGAGAUCACGCCAUUGCACUCCAACCCAGGAGGCGGAGCUUGCAGUGAGUGGAGAUCACGCCAUUGCACUCCAGCCUAGGAGCUCGCAGUGAGUGGAGAUCACGCCAUUGCACUCCAACCCAGGAGGCGGAACUUGCCGUGAGCGGAGAUCACGCCAUCGCACUCCAGCUUAGGAGCUCGCAGUGAGUGGAGAUCACGCCAUUGCACUCCAACCCAGGAGGCGGAACUUGCCGUGAGCGGAGAUGACGCCAUCGCACUCCAGCCUAGGAGCUCGCAGUGAGUGGAGAUCACGCCAUUGCACUCCAACCCAGGAGGCGGAACUUGCCGUGAGCGGAGAUCACGCCAUCGCACUCCAGCUUAGGAGCUCGCAGUGAGUGGAGAUCACGCCAUUGCACUCCAACCCAGGAGGCGGAACUUGCCAUGAGCGGAGAUGACGCCAUCGCACUCCAGCCUAGGAGCUCGCAAGUUUCACUCUCAGAGGAGGAUUUUGUUCUUCAAUUGUGGAGUGAUCUCUAUCACCAGUGACUAAAGAUGUUGGAGCACAGAGAGCCAUACCCCAAAAUAUGAUGCUUCGGCAUGCUGACUGCUUUGAAAAUUGAAAGGCCUCAGAAAUAAUCCUCAGUGCCAGGGUCUCCCUCUGACCUCCCCCUACCUCCCUUUCUCUCUGAUCCUGUCUCUCCCAAAGCACAGAAUGAAGCUGUUCUCUGAAUUCCCUUAUCUACCUAGAAACUGGACCCCCAAAGAGGAACACAAUUUGCCUUUGAUCCCUUCCCUGAAAUUUCAUUAACCAGAGAAAAUUAAAACUUCUAUCACAAAGGAAGAGACUGAACAUUAAACACCAUAGCUACAGCCCAGACAAACUUCUUCCCAAACCAUUGUUUGUUCUCCUGCCUGUUAAAUUGCCAGAGAAUCAUUCACAAGAUAAAGUCUGCCUUCUGGGUCCAUUCAUUCCCCACUAAAAAUCUUUUACUCCUACACCCUCAUGUCUCCUUCCUCCAUGAAGAAGGGUCUAUAAACCUCUAGGCCUCAUUGGGUUAUUGGGUAAUCAUUCUCAUGCAGUUCCCCUGUGCUCUGCAUGUUAAAUAAAUUUGUAUGCCUUUUUCUCCUACCUGCCUUUUGUCAUUUUCAGUGAACCUUCAGAAGGUAAAGGCAGAAGCUUUCCUUCUUUGCCCCUAUAGUGUCAACAACAGCCAGCCAGGCAAAGGGUUUCAGAAACCCAAGUGGGAUUAAGAUGAUUAGCCACAUGGCUCUAUUCUACAAACUAGUGGUCAGAAUAACAAGCGUUUGCUUAUUAGGAGGUCGAGGUGGGAGAA